ACGGCUCAGUAACACGUGGACAACCUGCCCUUAGGACGGGGAUAAACCCGGGAAACUGGGUAUAAUACCCGAUAGGUCUCGAUUGCUGGAAUGCAUCGAGAUUUAAAGCUCCGGCGCCUAAGGAUGGGUCUGCGGCCUAUCAGGUAGUAGUGGGUGUAGCGUACCUACUAGCCUACGACGGGUACGGGUUGUGAGAGCAAGAGCCCGGAGAUGGAUUCUGAGACACGAAUCCAGGCCCUACGGGGUGCAGCAGGCGCGAAAACUUUACAAUGCUGGCAACAGCGAUAAGGGAACCUCGAGUGCCAGGUUACAAAUCUGGCUGUCGAGAUGCCUAAAAAGCAUUUCAUGGCAAGGGCCGGGCAAGACCGGUGCCAGCCGCCGCGGUAACACCGGCGGCUCGAGUGGUAACCGUUAUUAUUGGGUCUAAAGGGUCUGUAGCCGGCCGGAUAAGUCUCUUGAGAAAUCUGGCAGCUUAACUGUCAGGCUUUCAGGAGAUACUGUCUGGCUCGAGGCCGGGAGAGGUGAGAGGUACUUCAGGGGUAGGGGUGAAAUCUUGUAAUCCUUGAAGGACCACCAGUGGCGAAGGCGUCUCACCAGAACGGACCUGACGGCAAGGGACGAAAGCUAGGGGCACGAACCGGAUUAGAUACCCGGGUAGUCCUAGCCGUAAACGAUACUCGCUAGGUGUCGGCCACGGUGCGACCGUUGUCGGUGCCGUAGGGAAGCCGUGAAGCGAGCCACCUGGGAAGUACGGCCGCAAGGCUGAAACUUAAAGGAAUUGGCGGGGGAGCAC
rnacentral:rRNA from 1 species